AUCUGAUUAACCAAUCAGAGAUGAGUAUUCCUAUGCCCAGUCUCACGCGGACAAGAAAACAAAAUGGUGGUUCCGUCGAAUCGGGAAAAUCAUGUUGAACGCCGCUUUUUAACUCUCUGCUAGCAGUGAUUUAGUCUUAUCUGUUUAAGCAGGGAUUUCACUGACUCAGUGCGUCAGAUAUAUCCUAUUUGUGUUGUUUCUCAUCGGCAAGAGACCUCAUUUGCAGGGUUAUUUUUACGACUUCACCGAAUCGUACUGUAAUGAACGCGGAAGGGUAAGCCACUGCUAGCAGGGUAUAUGAUUGAUCGCCACUUAUUUAGUUGUACGUUUCAUCGAGUCAUACAACUGCACAGAAUUUCCCUGGAUUUAUCUUGCUUUCACACUCGAAAUGAAGACACUCCAAGAAAAAAAAUUAGCUGGGAUAUUGAAACUAAAAUGAAUCUUAUACAGAAUGGCAGCGAGUCUCAUUAAAAAAUAAAGCUAAAUCGUAUAUGGCCGCGAGUCACUGUUUGUUGUAUGCAAUUAAAAGACACUACAUGAAAGUACUAUGUUUAAAUGUUUAUAUUUGAUCCUGGAAUCAAUAGAUUUGCUAUGAUCUGUAAAUCUCAGGGAUGGCAGUCAUUAUACAUUGCUGCAUUAGUUUGCUAUUACUCGUUGUAAAAAAAGUCAUUACCACAAAUGCUCACAUUAUGGCUUUUUAAACAUGGAUUUUAGAGGGGGCACUUGUUUGAGAGGCUAUCUAAUGUGCUUAUUCAAUGAGGGGUGUAUGUAUACCUCGGUGUUAGAACCCUCUCCAAAGGACUUCAUUGUAUUCAGCUCUGUUUUCAUCAUGAUUCUUUUUAUCAAACAAUAGAAGUUUUGUGACACAAAUCGUGCACAAUACACAGGUUUUAACACCAAGGUAGAGCCAUUAAGGGGGUAUUUCAUUGUGUGUGCAGGCAAAUGGAAGGCAAAGCCUAUAAACUAGGAUGAGGAAAAGGCAUGGUAAGGGUGCUGACACAGGUUGUGAAGACAAAGUAGACUUGUACCAGGUUUGAUUACCAGGCCUUGGAGAUUAUAGGAGAAUGGGAGUGUAGUCAUAUCCUGGGUACCAGAUGCUCCAAGCUUUACUAGAGCAGAUAUCAUAUGGAAAAUAUCUAUUUUUUCAUAUUUGGUGAUACUUCAGGCCCACUUUUUUCUCAUCAGUCUCUAUUAUAUGUGCAAAGAGUCUUUUUUUAAGAAUUGAAUUGAAUUAAUUUGAUUUGAUAGGCAAGUCUGAGAGUUGAAGUUCCCUUUUAAGACUAUAGUGAUAGUAAGAAUUUAUAUGUUUGGGGUAUAGAAUUAGGUUUGGGUAUUUGUUUGGGAGGUAAGUUUCUAUGCUUGGUAUAUUAGGGACUUUAAGAACCGAGAACGCGGCGGGUCUAGGACGCGACCGGAAGUGUUUUUUUCACAUUUUGCCCAACAGCGCAUGCGCAUGAAGUUCUCUCUUCUUGGCGGGAACGCGACGAAUCGAGUUUUGAAGUGCUGUAGAAAACCAGGUGUGUUCAACCAUGGCAUCAAACGUGCGAGAUGCAAAGGACAAAUCUUUAAACAAUGUGAUCAUGUACUGGUCGACUGUCACAGACAAAGAAGAGAGAUUUCAGAGAGGGUGAUGUGGAUGUAAAACCUAAGCGACAAAGAAGGAAGGGAGGAGAUGCAAUUGAGUUUUUGAAAGAGAGAGCUGACAAAAACAGUGAACUUAGAGAAAAGGAGCUCAACAU